rnacentral:rRNA from 1 species
AGCGAACGCUGGCGGCAGGCCUAACACAUGCAAGUCGAACGGCAUCACAGAGGAGCUUGCUCCUUGGGUGGCGAGUGGCGGACGGGUGAGGAAUACAUCGGAAUCUACUUUUUCGUGGGGGAUAACGUAGGGAAACUUACGCUAAUACCGCAUACGACCUACGGGUGAAAGCAGGGGACCUUCGGGCCUUGCGCUAUUGAAUGAGCCGAUGUCGGAUUAGCUAGUUGGCGGGGUAAAGGCCCACCAAGGCGACGAUCCGUAGCUGGUCUGAGAGGAUGAUCAGCCACACUGGAACUGAGACACGGUCCAGACUCCUACGGGAGGCAGCAGUGGGGAAUAUUGGACAAUGGGCGCAAGCCUGAUCCAGCCAUACCGCGUGGGUGAAGAAGGCCUUCGGGUUGUAAAGCCCUUUUGUUGGGAAAGAAAUCCAGCUGGCUAAUACCCGGUUGGGAUGACGGUACCCAAAGAAUAAGCACCGGCUAACUUCGUGCCAGCCGCCGCCGUAAAAC